GAUGAACGCUGGCGGCGUGCCUAAUACAUGCAAGUCGAGCGAACGGACGAGAAGCUUGCUUUUCUGAUGUUAGCGGCGGACGGGUGAGCAACACGUGGAUAACCUACCUAUAAGACUGGGAUAACUUCGGGAAACCGGAGCUAAUACCGGAUAAUAUUUUGAACCGCAUGGUUCAAAAGUGAAAGACGGUCUUGCUGUCACUUAUAGAUGGAUCCGCGCUGCAUUAGCUAGUUGGUAAGGUAACGGCUUACCAAGGCAACGAUGCAUAGCCGACCUGAGAGGGUGAUCGGCCGCACUGGAACUGAGACACGGUCCAGACUCCUACGGGAGGCAGCAGUAGGGAAUCUUCCGCAAUGGGCGAAAGCCUGACGGAGCAACGCCGCGUGAGUGAUGAAGGUCUUCGGAUCGUAAAACUCUGUUAUUAGGGAAGAACAUAUGUGUAAGUAACUGUGCACAUCUUGACGGUACCUAAUCAGAAAGCCACGGCUAACUACGUG
rnacentral:rRNA from 1 species